rnacentral:rRNA from 1 species
CCUACGGGUGGCAGCAGUGAGGAAUAUUGGUCAAUGGACGAGAGUCUGAACCAGCCAAGUAGCGUGAAGGAUGACUGCCCUACGGGUUGUAAACUUCUUUUAUAUGGGAAUAAAAUGAUCCACGUGUGGGAUUUUGUAUGUACCAUAUGAAUAAGGAUCGGCUAACUCCGUGCCAGCAGCCGCGGUAAUACGGAGGAUCCGAGCGUUAUCCGGAUUUAUUGGGUUUAAAGGGAGCGUAGGUGGAUUGUUAAGUCAGUUGUGAAAGUUUGCGGCUCAACCGUAAAAUUGCAGUUGAUACUGGCAGUCUUGAGUACAGUUGAGGUAGGCGGAAUUCGUGGUGUAGCGGUGAAAUGCUUAGAUAUCACGAAGAACUCCGAUUGCGAAGGCAGUUCACUGGACUGCCACUGACACUGAUGCUCGAAAGUGUGGGUAUCAAACAGGAUUAGAUACCCGAGUAGUC